UCGCGAACGUUGCUGGAGACGUGAAGUGAAUAUGGCAAAAUUCAAUAAUUAUUAUUAAUUCUGCCAUAUUGGGGGGUAAUUGUUGACACAUAAAAAUUCAGCCCAAAUCAAACAGCCCAGAGAGUAAAGCCCAAUUGGAGGAUCCCCAAAUCAAAUAGCCCAAAGAACGAAAUCCAAUUGAACGAAUCAAGGUGAAGGCCCAAAUAAGGGGCCCAAUAGUGCGGUAAC
rnacentral:lncRNA from 1 species